AAGGAGGAGGAUAUUACUCCUCGCUUUUAAAAGCCCCUUUGCUGUCAGGAGACACGGUCGGGGUGUUGGUCCAGCACGGGGGAACGGAGGACAUGCGCUCUCCCUCACAGCCGUUGCCUGACUCUGACUCAUGAAAAAAACGCGACUAAAAUAAAAAAGCACUGCGUAAACUC